AACCUCGAGACACCCCGCUUCGUCCGCGAGCAGAAGGGAAUCGACAUGAAGCUUCCCUCACAACCAGCGCGCCUAAGGAAGGGAGAGGGGGAGCUGGGUCGCCGGGGAGAGGUGAAUUGGACGGAAGGAGCACCGAGGAGCCGGUGAUUGGCGGCGGCGGGACUGCACAGCAACUAACAAAUACUGCAAAGUUUGUGGUGCUGCUGCCGAGCUGCCGGCCCGCCCGCAUAUCCAGGGCGGCACACGCUCCCUGGCCGCGCCCCUCUCACUGGACCUCUUCCGUGAUCCGUUCCUCGCCGUCGGAACGUCCCUGGUCGCUGGAGAGCUCCGCCCUGAACCAUCCCUCACCGGCCUGCUCCGCCCUGAUCCGCCUCUGCCCUUCUGUUUGUAUAAGAGAGAGCUGAUGCUUGCACAAUUGGUGGAUGCUACCGAACAGAUGCAGAAGAGAGAAGUUAUGCAGGUUUGCAGAUACACCAAAAGAUUAUGCACAGCUGACUCCGCGUCUGUUUCUUCUGCAAAAGAUGGCUUCAGUACGCACAAGAGCGGCAGAUUCAGUAGUGGAUGUUAAGGAAGUGGAAACUACUUAUUAUUAAUGACAACGGAACAUAGACUGGUCACAUAUUUGUGACAACUACUGCUGGCAAAAAUGAAAGCGCUACAAGAACCGUGAGCUCUAUGCAAUGUUUCUCUUCUAUAACUGAGAAGGAUUAGCCAUAUCUAAACUUGGUUUUGUAGUAUACGCCUGAGACUGUUCAUGGUGUUGUAAUCGAGCAUUACAACAUGUACCAGCACAUGCCACUUAUCCAA